CAGAGACUGCAAGCGUUAUUCGGAUUCACUGGGCGUAAAGGGUGCGCAGGCGGCCGGGUGUGUCAGAUGUGAAAUCCCGAGGCUUAACCUCGGAACUGCGUCUGAAACUACUCGGCUAGAGUAUUGGAGAGGGUAACGGAAUUCACGGUGUAGCAGUGAAAUGCGUAGAUAUCGUGAGGAACACCAGAGGCGAAGGCGGUUACCUGGACAAUUACUGACGCUCAGGCACGAAAGCAUGGGGAGCAAAAGGGAUUAGAUACCCCUGUAGUCCAUGCCCUAAACGGUGCACACUAGGUCUUGGCGGAUUCGACCCCACCAGGGCCCAAGCUAACGCGUUAAGUGUGCCGCCUGAGGACUACGGUCGCAAGACUA
rnacentral:rRNA from 1 species